UGGUUGAGGACCACUCUGUACUGUGAGGGGGCGGGCUGUUGAUGGUGACAUGGAGUUGGCUUCUGUUAAGACCUUUUGUGCUGGCACUGUGCUGUUCCUUAUGUUAAAACUGGAGUUCGGGCUUUAGGAAACUGGCCAGCCGUGUAAGGUUGAUCUCCUCGCUCCUGUCUGCCCCGGGAGGGACGUGGGCGCUGUGUCAUUACACCGUGUACUUCUCUCCCCUGGUUGUUCCGAUGAGUGUGUGCCCGUUUCCCACAUACCACCCUUCACGGGGAGCCUGACUCUGGCCAGGGCUGGCUGGAAUCUUGCUUUACUCCCAGGCCAUCAGCUACACUGGUCUGUGGUCUUUGGCCAGAGAGCUCCGUGGCUCCUGAGAAAGGAAGGUGCUGGUUGGAGUUGACGCUUGCCUCCUAGGGCCCACAGCUCCCAGGAUGUGGAUUUUGCUACCUGCAGAGAUG
rnacentral:lncRNA from 1 species